GUUUAUUCUAGAGGACGGCAGAGGCAAGUAGAACUUAUAGAGUAACAGUAAAGUGUGUUGAUACUAUAAGGAAUACCAAAUGCGAAGGCAUCUUGCUGGACCGUUCCUGGCACUGAGAGACGAAAGCGUGGGUAGCGAAUGGGAUUAGAUACCCCAGUAGUCCACGCCGUAAACGAUGGAUAUUAGGCAUUAGGAGUGUCGACCCUUUUAGUGCCGAAGCUAACGCAUUAAAUAUCCCGCCUGGGAAGUACGAGCGCAAGCUUAAAACUCAAAGGAAUAGACGGGGACCUGCACAAGCGGUGGAACAUGUGGUUUAAUUCGACGAUAAACGAGGAACCUUACCAAGGCUUGAAAUCUCUAGAAUUCCCGAGAAACCGGGAAGUGCCGCAAGGAGCUAGAUGACAGGUGCUGCAUGGUUGCCGUCAGCUCGUGCCGUGAGGUGUUCGGUUAAGUCCAGUAACGAGCGCAACCCCUUUCAGAUGUUAUAUUUCUCAUCUGAGACUGCCCGGGUUAACUGGGAGGAAGGUGGGGACGACGUCAAAUCAGCAUGGCCCUUGACGCCUUGGGCUACACACAUGUUACAAUGGAAAGUUAUAAAGGGUUGCCAAAUCGCAAGAUGGAGCCAAUCCCGCCAAAACUUUUCUCAGUUCGGAUUGAGGGCUGCAACUCGCCCUCAUGAAGCCGGAAUCGCUAGUAACCGUGAAUCAGCUAUGUCACGGUGAAUACGUUCUCA
rnacentral:rRNA from 1 species